rnacentral:rRNA from 1 species
GGAUGAACGCUAGCUACAGGCUUAACACAUGCAAGUCGAGGGGAAACGAUAUUGGAAGCUUGCUUCCGAUAGGCGUCGACCGGCGCACGGGUGAGUAACGCGUAUCCAACCUGCCCAUCACUUGGGAAUAACCUUGCGAAAGUAAGACUAAUGCCCAAUGACAUUUAUAGAAGGCAUCUGAAAUGAAUUAAAGAUUUAUCGGUGAUGGAUGGGGAUGCGUCUGAUUAGCUUGUUGGCGGGGUAACGGCCCACCAAGGCGACGAUCAGUAGGGGUUCUGAGAGGAAGGUCCCCCACAUUGGAACUGAGACACGGUCCAAACUCCUACGGGAGGCAGCAGUGAGGAAUAUUGGUCAAUGGGCGAGAGCCUGAACCAGCCAAGUAGCGUGCAGGAUGACGGCCCUAUGGGUUGUAAACUGCUUUUAUAGGGGAAUAAAGUGAGCCACGUGUGGUUUUUUGCAUGUACCCUAUGAAUAAGGACCGGCUAAUUCCGUGCCAGCAGCCGCGGUAAUACGGAAGGUCCGGGCGUUAUCCGGAUUUAUUGGGUUUAAAGGGAGCGUAGGCCGGAGAUUAAGCGUGUUGUGAAAUGUAGAUGCUCAACAUCUGAACUGCAGCGCGAACUGGUUUCCUUGAGUACGCAUAAAGUGGGCGGAAUUCGUGGUGUAGCGGUGAAAUGCUUAGAUAUCACGAAGAACUCCGAUUGCGAAGGCAGCUCACUGGGGCGCAACUGACGCUGAAGCUCGAAAGCGCGGGUAUCGAACAGGAUUAGAUACCCUGGUAGUCCGCGCGGUAAACGAUGGAUGCCCGCUGUUGGGCCAACUGG